rnacentral:tRNA from 1 species
GCGUGGUAGCUCAGACGGUUAGAGCGUCGGAUUCAUAACCCGGAGGUCGGCGGUUCGAAUCCGCCCCA